ensembl:lncRNA
GGGGGAAGGAGCUGGCAUGGCUGCCCUGUCUCUCGGGGGUGUGGAGUGGCAGCAGCCACCCUCCCAGCCAAGUGGCAUGGUGUGGAGCUGCUGGGCACUGUCAUCGGAGAGCAUCCCUGUGACAACAGCACCGUCCUGUGUGUGGAAGCCAGCUUCAGUGUCUCACACAAAUGGGGAAACGUCUGCUUCCUGGAAGUGAUGGAGGCUGCAGUCUCAGAGAAGGUCAAAAAGCAACAUGAGGAAAGACACCAACAAUCUACUCUCCUAGUAACCAAGGACACAGGGCUAAAAGCCAUGGAGCCUGAGACUGAGAAGUCCAGCCUCGCCGAUGGGCAGCAGAGCCUGGUGGGGCUGCCUGCCUCGAGCAGCGUACGGGAGCCUGGCAUGCAGACCCCGCAGGGCUUUGGACACCCUGACCCCAGGCUGAGGCGGGACUUCCGGCUAGAGAGCCGCAGUGGACUUCUGGCUCUUGCUCGGGCAGCUCCCUGCUCCCCAGGUGGCUGCAGAGACCCCGCCUUGUCUACAGCAGCGUUAAUCACCGAAGCUGGCCCGGGACUGAGCCUGUGCCCUGAAUGAGUCACACACACUCUCCGAGUCCCUGCAGCCGAACCCGUCUCGCCCUCGGGGGCACCAGCCUGCUUAAUGCUUUGCUGCUCAAACCCUCAGGACGCAGGGGCCUGGGCGCCUCUGCCCCUCUUCGAGGCUGGCACCUCCAGCUCGGAUGUUGCCAUCCCGCACAAUGUCCCUAAAGCACUUAUGUCCACGUGGCACAGGCCGACUCCUCCGCCAAGGGGCCACUAUUAUUGUUAACAUUAUUAUUAUUUAUAUCUCCACUCUCAAGUUGGCACUUCAGUUCAUUUUGGGGACUUGAACAAGACCCUGGGGUCCCAAGUACUAAGGCCACUCUGGGGACCCAGGGGUGCGGCUGCCCUCCGGUGUGCAUCUUCCGACUGUGGCACCUGCUGCCGGGGGCACAGCCAGCGCACUUGGUGGGCCACACAGAAGCGAGGCCGUGCCCCCAAAAUACAAAGCUUUGCACAGGAAGCAAGGAAGGAGGUCGUGGGAGAGGCUUCCGAGGCUUCUGCUGCUCCUCUGGGCUCUUGUCACUGGCCAGUCCCCAAAGGCGUCACUGCUGCAUGAGAAAGGGGGGGCUGUCAGGGACGCACCUGCCCGGAUGCCCUGGGACCCUGCCCGCUGAGGGCCCGGCCAGCGUCCUGUGGCGUGGAAAGAGCCUGCCCGCUCUCUUCAGAGCCGUUUAGUACUUUCGGUGGGAUAGAAAACUACAAAUGCUUGAUUACAGUGAAAGACAUCACUACUCACUCUCCUCAGAAUUCUCCCCUCUCGCUUCAAACCCACUCAGCCCCUCAUUCUCACCACCUCCCGGAGCAGCUCUGGAGUCCUCUUUCGUGGGUGUCUUUAUUUUUUUUUUUCUUGGUACCGGGGAUUGAACUUGGGUCCUUGCGCUUGCGCAGCAGGCGGCAAAACCACUUUGAGCUAAAUCCCUGGCCCAAGGAAGCAUAUUUUGAGGGACAUUAAUGGAAUGUGUCUUUUACUGUAAUAAUUUUAUUUUGGUACUGAGGAUUGAACUUGGGACUUCCCGCUUGCAAGGCAGGUGGCGGAACCACUGAGCUAAAUC